rnacentral:misc_RNA from 1 species
GUCUCCAAUUUCCUUAAUUGCAGUAUUGAUAGAGUGUGAAGCAGCAAGCCAUUGAUCAGUUUGCUUUCCAAAUCGAAAAAUGCUUGCAGUUAAAGCACGAAUUUCCAUUUCAAUCCUCUUUUCCAUUACAAACGCUUCUUGUACUUCUCUAUUCACUGAAUCCACCAGCAGCUCCGAAACCCGCCUUGCAUUACGAAUCCCAUCCUUCUUCGCCUUCUCGGUGGAUUCACGGAGCUUGAGAGAUGAAGAAUGGUGGGAGUUGAUGAUUCGAAUGAGUGAAGCUUCUAAGCCAUGAGGAUCUACUUGCUUCGACCGAUCCAUCUUCUCCCCCAAAGUGACACUGCAAUGGCAGCUCGAAG